GCUGGUUUGAGCUAGUCCUAAACCACCGGGGUUUAGGUGCGAUAAAUAAAAAGUUAGAAAAACAAGGGCUAAGCGAAAAAGAUCAACUGAAAUAGCAGUUGUGGUUAACGCUGGGGGCACCCAAUCUAUGAUGUAGAAUAUGAAGACACCAGAGGCUCUAAAGCAAAAACAUAAAAUACUAAGAAAAAAAACCCCAUAAAAUACUAAGAAAGAAAACCGGGGCCUCGAAUCUGAUAUAAAGAUUAGCCGCUUGUGACGUAGGCCUAAAGAAAAGAAUGGGCCAAUCAUAUCGAGUGUGUUGCCAUGACGAAUUUGACGCUAUGCGACCCACCGCUGGAGACUUCCUUCAACAAAGAUGGCUGACAAAAAUACUGCGAAGCAAAUGUUAGGGACUCCUGAGAAAAACACCAAACCAGGCUGUCGACUUGUGAAACAGUGGAUGUAAAGAAUCUAGCUAGCUAAAGCAUUUACAGCCAAUUGAAUGUACAAUUUUGUAUGCUUGCCUUGCUGAUAUUUGCCAUGAAAUGCAGCUGAAGUAACGUAACUUGGCUAGCUAACCAUUUUCUUGCUUAUUGUGUAGUGGAGGAUAAAAAUACCUGUAUGCCUAUGGAUGUGUAGCUAGCUAUGUAGCUGAUCUGUGUAUGGACCCUAAAACGUUUGGUAUAAAUAUUAAUUCAGAACCUAGUUAUGAACGUCAGCUAUCAUAGCUGUUUGUAUCCACUUCAGAACAGCCAAAGGGCAUUAAUGAAGCCUAUGGAUGGAGUAGAAUAUAGUAUAACUUUAUUGUGCCAAGGAUGGAAGUCAUAUAUACAUGUAGUUAUUACCAAACAUGAGAUCCCCACAUUGUAGCCUGUACAUUUAAUAUAUUCACUGAUCAUGUACUCUACCUUGGCAAAUACAUUUGUGGUUCAGGUAUGAGUGUCUGUGACAUUCUUUUUCAGUCAUAUCCAGUUCCAAGAGUAAACUCCAGUCUUUGAAUGA